GGCCUAACACAUGCAAGUCGAACGGUAAGGCCCUUCGGGGUACACGAGUGGCGAACGGGUGAGUAACACGUGGGUAAUCUGCCCUGCACUUUGGGAUAAGCCUGGGAAACUGGGUCUAAUACCGGAUAUGACCCCGAGGCGCAUGCCUUGGGGUGGAAAGCUUUUGCGGUGUGGGAUGGGCCCGCGGCCUAUCAGCUUGUUGGUGGGGUGAUGGCCUACCAAGGCGACGACGGGUAGCCGGCCUGAGAGGGUGUCCGGCCACACUGGGACUGAGAUACGGCCCAGACUCCUACGGGAGGCAGCAGUGGGGAAUAUUGCACAAUGGGCGGAAGCCUGAUGCAGCGACGCCGCGUGGGGGAUGACGGCCUUCGGGUUGUAAACCUCUUUCACCAUCGACGAAGGUCCGGGUCUUCUCGGAUUGACGGUAGGUGGAGAAGAAGCACCGGCCAACUACGUGCCAGCAGCCGCGGUAAUACGUAGGGUGCGAGCGUUGUCCGGAAUUACUGGGCGUAAAGAGCUCGUAGGUGGUUUGUCGCGUUGUUCGUGAAAUCUCACGGCUUAACUGUGAGCGUGCGGGCGAUACGGGCAGACUGGAGUACUGCAGGGGAGACUGGAAUUCCUGGUGUAGCGGUGGAAUGCGCAGAUAUCAGGAGGAACACCGGUGGCGAAGGCGGGUCUCUGGGCAGUAACUGACGCUGAGGAGCGAAAGCGUGGGGAGCGAACAGGAUUAGAUACCCUGGUAGUCCACGCCGUAAACGGUGGGUACUAGGGUGUGGGUUUCCUUCCUUGGGAUCCGUGCCGUAACUAACGCAUUAAGUACCC
rnacentral:rRNA from 1 species